rnacentral:tRNA from 1 species
GGGCGAAUAGCUCAGCUGGGAGAGCAUCUGCCUUACAAGCAGAGGGUCACAGGUUCGAGCCCUGUUUCGCCCACCA